UACGUAGAAGGCGAACGUUAUCCGGAUUUACUGGGCGUAAAGAGGGUGUAGACGGUUCUUUAAGUCAGUUGUGAAAUCUCCCGACUCAAUCGAGAGACUGCAAUUGAUACUGGGGAGCUUGAGGGCAUCAGAAGAAAGCAGAAUUCACGGUGUAGCGGUGAAAUGCGUAGAUAUCGUGAGGAAUACCAGUGGCGAAGGCGGCUUUCUAGGAUGCUCCUGACGUUGAGGCCCGAAAGUGUGGGGAGCGAAACGGAUUAGAUACCCGUGUAGUCCACACCCUAAACGUUGAAUACUAGGUAUAGGGGGUAUCGACCCUCUCUGUGCCGAAGCUAACGCUUUAAGUAUUCCGCCUGGGGACUACGGCCACAAGGCUA
rnacentral:rRNA from 1 species